rnacentral:rRNA from 1 species
GACGAACGCUGGCGGCGUGCUUAACACAUGCAAGUCGUACGGUAGGGCCCUUUCGGGGGUACACGAGUGGCGAACGGGUGAGUAACACGUGAGUAACCUGCCCACAACUUUGGGAUAACGCUAGGAAACUGGUGCUAAUACUGGAUAUGUGCUCCUGCUGCAUGGUGGGGGUUGGAAAGCUCCGGCGGUUGUGGAUGGACUCGCGGCCUAUCAGCUUGUUGGUGGGGUAGUGGCCUACCAAGGCGGCGACGGGUAGCCGGCCUGAGAGGGUGACCGGCCACAUUGGGACUGAGAUACGGCCCAGACUCCUACGGGAGGCAGCAGUGGGGAAUAUUGCACAAUGGGCGCAAGCCUGAUGCAGCAACGCCGCGUGCGGGAUGACGGCCUUCGGGUUGUAAACCGCUUUCAGCAGGGACCAAGCUUUUUGUGACGGUACCUGCAGAAGAAGCACCGGCUAACUACGUG